rnacentral:misc_RNA from 1 species
GAUGAAGAACGCAGCGAAAUGCGAUAAGUAAUGUGAAUUGCAGAAUUCAGUGAAUCAUCGAAUCUUUGAACGCACAUUGCGCCCGCCAGCAUUCUGGCGGGCAUGCCUGUUCGAGCGUCAUUUCAACCCUCGAGCCCCCCCGGGGGCCUCGGUGUUGGGGGACGGCACACCAGCCGCCACCGAAAUGCAGUGGCGACCCCGCCGCAGCCUCCCCUGCGUAGUAGCACACACCUCGCACCGGAGCGCGGAGGCGGUCACGCCGUAAAACGCCCAACUUUCUUAGAGUUGACCUCGGAUCAGGUAGGAAUACCCGCUGAACUUAAGCAUAUCAAUAAGCGGAGGA